rnacentral:rRNA from 1 species
GCUUACGGCCACACCACCCUGAGCACGCCCGCUCUCGUUUGAUCUCGGAAGCCAAGCAGGGUCGGGCCUGGUUAGUACUUGGAUGGGAGACCGCCUGGGAAUACCAGGUGCUGUAAGCAU